GACGAACCGUGCAAACGUUAUUCGGAAUCACUGGGCGUAAAGGGCGCGUAGGCGGCUUUCUAAGUCAGGGGUGAAAUCCGGCAGCUCAACUGUCGCAGUGCCUUUGAUACUGGAGAGCUCGAGGGAGGUAGGGGUCUGUGGAACUUCCGGUGGAGCGGUGAAAUGCGUUGAUAUCGGAAGGAACGCCGGUGGCGAAAGCGACGGACUGGAUCUCUUCUGACGCUGAGGCGCGAAAGCCAGGGGAGCAAACGGG
rnacentral:rRNA from 1 species